rnacentral:tRNA from 1 species
UGGCUGAGCGGUAAAGCGCUUGGCUUCUGAACCGGGUGCUCGGGUUCGAGUCCCGA